CUUGCCUGAUUAGUGGCUCGUCUGAGCAAACAAAGAAAAGACAAAAUAGUCAAAACUUUCAACAACGGAUCUCUUGGUUCUGGCAUCGAUGAAGAACGCAGCAAAACGCGAUAAGUAAUGUGAAUUGCAGAAUUUAGUGAAUCAUCAAAU
rnacentral:rRNA from 1 species